rnacentral:rRNA from 1 species
ACGGGGGGUGCAAGCGUUGUUCGGAAUUAUUGGGCGUAAAGAGCGUGUAGGCGGCUGGGUAAGUCAGAUGUGAAAGCCCUGGGCUUAACCCAGGAAGUGCAUUUGAUACUGCCCGGCUUGAGUAGGGGAGAGGGAAGUGGAAUUCCUGGUGUAGAGGUGAAAUUCGUAGAUAUCAGGAGGAACACCGGUGGCGAAGGCGGCUUACUGGACCAAUACUGACGCUGAGACGCGAGAGCGUGGGGAGCAAACAG